rnacentral:rRNA from 1 species
UACGUAGGGUGCAAGCGUUGUCCGGAAUUAUUGGGCGUAAAGAGCUCGUAGGCGGUUUGUCGCGUCUGCUGUGAAAUCCCGAGGCUCAACCUCGGGCCUGCAGUGGGUACGGGCAGACUAGAGUGCGGUAGGGGAGAUUGGAAUUCCUGGUGUAGCGGUGGAAUGCGCAGAUAUCAGGAGGAACACCGAUGGCGAAGGCGGCAUCCUGGACCGAGAUUGACGCUGAUGAGCGAAAGCUAGGGGAGCAAACGGG